rnacentral:rRNA from 1 species
CAAUGGUGGUUUCAAUGGGUUGCGAAGUCACGAGGCGGAGCGAAUCCCCAAAACCCAUUUCAGUUCGGAUUGCACUCAGCAACUCGAGUGCAUGAAGUCGGAAUCCCUAGUAAUCCACGGAUCAGCAUGACGCGGUGAAUACGUUCUCAUGCCUUGUACACACCCCCGCGUCACACCAUGGGAGUCGGUUUCGCCUGAAGACGGUGUGCUAACCGCAAGGAGGCAGCCGGCCAUGGUAGGGUCAGCGACUGGGGUGAAGUCGUAACAAGGUA